AUUGAACGCUGGCGGCAGGCCUAACACAUGCAAGUCGAGCGGUAGCACAGAGAGCUUGCUCUCGGGUGACGAGCGGCGGACGGGUGAGUAAUGUCUGGGAAACUGCCUGAUGGAGGGGGAUAACUACUGGAAACGGUAGCUAAUACCGCAUAACGUCGCAAGACCAAAGUGGGGGACCUUCGGGCCUCAUGCCAUCAGAUGUGCCCAGAUGGGAUUAGCUAGUAGGUGGGGUAACGGCUCACCUAGGCGACGAUCCCUAGCUGGUCUGAGAGGAUGACCAGCCACACUGGAACUGAGACACGGUCCAGACUCCUACGGGAGGCAGCAGUGGGGAAUAUUGCACAAUGGGCGCAAGCCUGAUGCAGCCAUGCCGCGUGUGUGAAGAAGGCCUUCGGGUUGUAAAGCACUUUCAGCGGGGAGGAAGGCGUUAAGGUUAAUAACCUUGGCGAUUGACGUUACCCGCAGAAGAAGCACCGGCUAACUCCGUGCCAGCAGCCGCGGUAAUACGGAGGGUGCAAGCGUUAAUCGGAAUUACUGGGCGUAAAGCGCACGCAGGCGGUCUGUCAAGUCGGAUGUGAAAUCCCCGGGCUCAACCUGGGAACUGCAUUCGAAACUGGCAGGCUAGAGUCUUGUAGAGGGGGGUAGAAUUCCAGGUGUAGCGGUGAAAUGCGUAGAGAUCUGGAGGAAUACCGGUGGCGAAGGCGGCCCCCUGGACAAAGACUGACGCUCAGGUGCGAAAGCGUGGGGAGCAAACAGGAUUAGAUACCCUGGUAGUCCACGCCGUAAACGAUGUCGAUUUGGAGGUUGUGCCCUUGAGGCGUGGCUUCCGGAGCUAACGCGUUAAAUCGACCGCCUGGGGAGUACGGCCGCAAGGUUAAAACUCAAAUGAAUUGACGGGGGCCCGCACAAGCGGUGGAGCAUGUGGUUUAAUUCGAUGCAACGCGAAGAACCUUACCUGGUCUUGACAUCCACAGAACUUUCCAGAAAUGGAUUGGUGCCUUCGGGAACUGUGAGACAGGUGCUGCAUGGCUGUCGUCAGCUCGUGUUGUGAAAUGUUGGGUUAAGUCCCGCAACGAGCGCAACCCUUAUCCUUUGUUGCCAGCGGUUCGGCCGGGAACUCAAAGGAGACUGCCAGUGAUAAACUGGAGGAAGGUGGGGAUGACGUCAAGUCAUCAUGGCCCUUACGACCAGGGCUACACACGUGCUACAAUGGCAUAUACAAAGAGAAGCGACCUCGCGAGAGCAAGCGGACCUCAUAAAGUAUGUCGUAGUCCGGAUUGGAGUCUGCAACUCGACUCCAUGAAGUCGGAAUCGCUAGUAAUCGUAGAUCAGAAUGCUACGGUGAAUACGUUCCCGGGCCUUGUACACACCGCCCGUCACACCAUGGGAGUGGGUUGCAAAAGAAGUAGGUAGCUUAACCUUCGGGAGGGCGCUUACCACUUUGUGAUUCAUGACUGGGGUGA
rnacentral:rRNA from 1 species